GACAGAGGGUGCAACGUUGUUCGGAUUUACUGGGCGUAAAGCGCGUGUAGGCGGCUUGGCAAGUUGGAUGUGAAAGCCCACGGCUCAACCGUGGAAGAGCAUCCAAACUGCUUCGCUCGAGUCUCGGAGAGGAAGGUGGAAUGCUUGGUGUAGAGGUGAAAUUCGUAGAUAUCAAGCAGAACACCUGCGGCGAAGGCGGCCUUCUGGACGAUGACUGACGCUGAGACGCGAAGCGUGGGGAGCAAACAGG
rnacentral:rRNA from 1 species